AACGAACGCUGGCGGCAUGCCUAACACAUGCCAGUCGAACGAGACCUUCGGGUCUAGUGGCGCACAGGUGCGUAACGCGUGGGAACCUGCCCUUAGGUUCGGAAUAACUCCCCGAAAGGGGUGCUAAUACCGGAUAAUGUCUUCGGACCAAAGAUUUAUCGCCUUUGGAUGGGCCCGCGUUGGAUUAGCUAGUUGGUAGGGUAAAAGCCUACCAAGGCGACGAUCCAUAGCUGGUCUGAGAGGAUGAUCAGCCACACUGGGACUGAGACACGGCCCAGACUCCUACGGGAGGCAGCAGUGGGGAAUAUUGGACAAUGGGCGAAAGCCUGAUCCAGCAAUGCCGCGUGAGUGAUGAAGGCCUUAGGGUUGUAAAGCUCUUUUACCCGGGAUGAUAAUGACAGUACCGGGAGAAUAAGCUCCGGCUAACUCCGUG
rnacentral:rRNA from 1 species